UACGAAGGGGGCUAGCGUUGUUCGGAAUUACUGGGCGUAAAGCGCGUGUAGGCGGGGCUUUAAGUCCGGGGUGAAAUGCCAAGGCUCAACCUUGGAACUGCCUUUGAUACUGGAGAUCUUGAGUCCGGGAGAGGUGAGUGGAAUUGCGAGUGUAGAGGUGAAAUUCGUAGAUAUUCGCAAGAACACCAGUGGCGAAGGCGGCUCACUGGCCCGGAACUGACGCUGAGACGCGAAAGCGUGGGGAGCAAACAGG
rnacentral:rRNA from 1 species